AAGASCUUGCACUUUUGGAGCGGCCGAMGUCUGAUUAGCUAGUUGGUGGGGUAAUGGCCUACCAAAGCUUCGAUCAGUAGCUGGUCUGAGAGGACGGCCAGCCACACUGGGACUGAGACACGGCCCAGACUCCUACGGGAGGCAGCAGUGGGGAAUUUUGGACAAUGGGCGCAAGCCUGAUCCAGCCAUGCCGCGUGAGUGAAGAAGGCCUUCGGGUUGUGAAGCUCUUUCAGCCGGGAAGAAAAGGUUGCGACUAAUAAUCGCAAUUCAUGACGGUACCGAAAGAAGAAGCACCGGCUAACUACGUGCCAGCAGCCGCGGUAAUACGUAGGGUGCGAGCGUUAAUCGGAAUUACUGGGCGUAAAGGGUGCGCAGGCGGUUUUGUAAGUCAGAUGUGAAAUCCCCGGGCUUAACCUGGGAACU
rnacentral:rRNA from 1 species